CCUACGGGCGGCAGCAGUGGGGAAUAUUGGACAAUGGGGGCAACCCUGAUCCAGCCAUGCCGCGUGUGUGAAGAAGGCCCUCGGGUUGUAAAGCACUUUCAGUGAGGAAGAACGCCUGGUGGUUAAUACCCAUCAGGAAAGACAUCACUCACAGAAGAAGCACCGGCUAACUCCGUGCCAGCAGCCGCGGUAAUACGGAGGGUGCGAGCGUUAAUCGGAAUUACUGGGCGUAAAGCGCGCGUAGGUGGCUUGAUAAGCCGGUUGUGAAAGCCCCGGGCUCAACCUGGGAACGGCAUCCGGAACUGUCAAGCUAGAGUGCAGGAGAGGAAGGUAGAAUUCCGGGUGUAGCGGUGAAAUGCGUAGAGAUCGGGAGGAAUACCAGUGGCGAAGGCGGCCUUCUGGACUGACACUGACACUGAGGUGCGAAAGCGUGGGUAGCAAACAGGAUUAGAUACCCCUGUAGUC
rnacentral:rRNA from 1 species